rnacentral:rRNA from 1 species
AGCCUGCAACUCGGCUGCAUGAAGCUGGAAUCGCUAGUAAUCGCGGAUCAGAAUGCCGCGGUGAAUACGUUCCCGGGUCUUGUACACACCGCCCGUCACACCAUGGGAGUCGGGAAUGCCCGAAGUCAGUGACCCAACCGAAAGGGGGAGCUGCCGAAGGCAGGCCUGGUAACUGGGGUGAAGUCGUAACAAGGUAGC